CGUGGGGCUCAACCCCAUCCAGCCGUUGAAACUGGGGAUCUAGAGUGUGCGAGAGGUAUGCGGAAUGCGUGGUGUAGCGGUGAAAUGCAUAGAUAUCACGCAGAACCCCGAUUGCGAAGGCAGCAUACCGGUGCACAACUGACGCUCAGGCACGAAAGCGUGGGUAUCGAACAGGAUUAGAUACCCUGGUAGUCCACGCAGUAAACGAUGAAUGCUACCUGUUUGGCCAGAUUGAUGGCUGAGCGGGACAGCGAAAGCGUUAAGCAUUCCACCUGGGGAGUACGCCGGCAACGGUGAAACUCAAAGGAAUUGACGGGGGCCCGCACAAGCGGAGGAACAUGUGGUUUAAUUCGAUGAUACGCGAGGAACCUUACCCGGGCUCAAACGCAUACUGACGACAGUUGAAAGAUUGUUUCCCUUCGGGGCAUUAUGCGAGGUGCUGCAUGGUUGUCGUCAGCUCGUGCCGUGAGGUGUCGGCUUAAGUGCCAUAACGAGCGCAACCCCUAUCGACAGUUGCUAACGAGUAGAGUCGAGGACUCUGUCGAGACUGCCGGCGCAAGCUGUGAGGAAGGCGGGGAUGACGUCAAAUCAGCACGGCCCUUACGUCCGGGGCGACACACGUGUUACAAUGGCAGGGACAGCGGGAAGCCACCAAGCGAUUGGGCGCGGAACCCGAAACCCUGUCUCAGUUCGGAUUGGAGUCUGCAACUCGACUCCAUGAAGCUGGAUUCGCUAGUAAUCGCGCAUCAGCCAUGGCGCGGUGAAUACGUUCCCGGGCCUUGUACACACCGCCCGUCAAGCCAUGGGAGUCGGGAGUGCCUGAAGUUCGUGACCGUUUAGGAGCGACCUAGGGCAAGACUGAUGACUGGGGCUAAGUCGUAACAAGGUAACCGUAA
rnacentral:rRNA from 1 species